UAGGGAAUCUUCGGCAAUGGACGAAAGUCUGACCGAGCAACGCCGCGUGAGUGAAGAAGGUUUUCGGAUCGUAAAACUCUGUUGUUAGAGAAGAACGUUGCAUAGAGUGGAAAAUUAUGCAAGUGACGGUAUCUAACCAGAAAGGGACGGCUAACUACGCGCCAGCAGCCGCGGUAAUACGUAGGUCCCGAGCGUUGUCCGGAUUUAUUGGGCGUAAAGCGAGCGCAGGUGGUUUAAUAAGUCUGAUGUAAAAGGCAGUGGCUCAACCAUUGUGUGCAUUGGAAACUGUUAGACUUGAGUGCAGUAGAGGAGAGUGGAAUUCCAUGUGUAGCGGUGAAAUGCGUAGAUAUAUGGAGGAACACCGGUGGCGAAAGCGGCUCUCUGGACUGUCACUGACACUGAGGCUCGAAAGCGUGGGUAGCAAACAGGAUUAGAUACCCUGGUAGUCCACGCCGUAAACGAUGAGUGCUAGUUGUUUGG
rnacentral:rRNA from 1 species